GUUCAAAUAGAUGACUUAAUAAGUACAGGAAAUGCAUAUAUGUCCUAGGUAUUACUCAUCUAUAUCCUUCAUAUCUCUACAUCUUCCGGCAGAGGUGCAGCGUCGCUCCAUUUUAGUUCCAAGAUCGUAUUAGGAUACUCCGCAGAGGACACAUCUGGAAGCAGAGACAUUUUAGCGCCUUCUAAAUAAUGUCGCCAGCAUUUCUUUGAGUAAUAUUUACAACAACUGGGAGGAAUCUUCUCUUUGUUCAAUAUCUUCUCCUGAAUGAACACGAGGAGGUCACUUCUGAGAGAUGUCUUUAAGAUGAGAGUUUUUGGAUGAAAAUCUCGCAAGUGACUGUUGAGAAGAUUUUCCACCAUUCUUGCUGAUUUAGUCAAUUGUAUCUUGUAUGGUCCAAAAUAAGAAAGAUGAAGUCCUCUCAAUUCCUCAUAUAUAUUCACACCCUGUUUGGAGGCAAGAAGCAACUUGAAGCCUUUGCCAUCAAACCCUUCAAUGAAUUUCUGCACUGACUUCUGUUUUUGGGAUUUCAAGUGAAGCUUCACUUCUUGCAACCGUGAAGCAUUCAUGGAAGAAAACGG
rnacentral:misc_RNA from 1 species